CACGGUCUGUGGAAGAUUCCGACUUCUAAGGUUCCAAAAAAUAAUUUUAUACAAACUUUACUGCUCUAUCAUUAUUAAAUGCCUCAUGUACUAUCCGCCAUGUAAAGUGUAGUGAAAUGUAUCUCAUCGUAAUACUAAAUCCUAAGAAAACUAAAGCCUCUGCGGAGGAGAGAGCCUCAUGUAUGUUUUGUUUGAAUCACUUGUUCAUGAUCAGGUCACGGCGGGUCAAGUACGAUACGGGGAAAUUAGACUAAUUAACAUAUUAUGUUUUACCAACAUUGAAAGAGGACGGAAAGGACAAGUAACAUAAUUAAUUAUAUUGACAGUGUCACAACACUUUUGUGUCUGGGGUUGUAGAUAAAUAUAGAGAUUUAUUAAAAUCACAUCGCAG